rnacentral:rRNA from 1 species
GCUUAUACUCGACCGUCAGCGGCAGGUGCGAUCGCUUAUCGCGAGAUAGCGAUCACGAAGCUCUGACGAGUAGGAGGGUCGCGGCGGUGAGCGCAGAAGGGCUGGCCGUGAGGCCGUCUGGAGCCGCCGUCGGUGCAGAUCUUGGUGGUAGUAGCAAAUACUCCAGCGAGGCCCUGGAGGACUGACGUGGAGAAGGGUUUCGUGUGAACAGCCGUUGCACACGAGUCAGUCGAUCCUAAGCCCUAGGCGAAAGCCGAUGUUGAUGCGGUGUAGAUAACGAUUGUGAUGCGAUUCAUCUGUGUGUUUUGCGCUCGAUAUCGAUCUAUACGAUACUACGCAACAGCAGUUGUAAGCGUGUAUAUAUAAAUACGCAUACAUACACACCCAUUGGGCGAAAGGGAAUCCGGUUCCUAUUCCGGAACCUGGCAGCGGAACCGUCAAAAAGUCGGGC